CCACGCCGUAAACGAUGAAUGCUAGCUGUUAGCGAUAUACUGUUAGCGGCACAGAGAAAUCGUUAAGCAUUCCACCUGGGGAGUACGCCGGCAACGGUGAAACUCAAAGGAAUUGACGGGGGCCCGCACAAGCGGAGGAACAUGUGGUUUAAUUCGAUGAUACGCGAGGAACCUUACCUGGGCUUAAAUUGCAGUGGAAUAACGUGGAAACAUGUUAGCCUUCGGGCCGCUGUGAAGGUGCUGCAUGGUUGUCGUCAGCUCGUGCCGUGAGGUGUCGGCUUAAGUGCCAUAACGAGCGCAACCCUCAUCGAUAGUUACUAACAGGUUAGGCUGAGGACUCUAUCGAGACUGCCGACGUAAGUCGUGAGGAAGGUGGGGAUGACGUCAAAUCAGCACGGCCCUUACGUCCAGGGCUACACACGUGUUACAAUGGGGGGUACAAAGGGCAGCUACCUGGCGACAGGAUGCUAAUCUCAAAAACCUCUCUCAGUUCGGAUUGGAGUCUGCAACCCGACUCCAUGAAGCUGGAUUCGCUAGUAAUCGCGCAUCAGCCACGGCGCGGUGAAUACGUUCCCGGGCCUUGUACACACCGCCCGUCAAGCCAUGGGAGCCGGGGGGACCUGAAGUAUGCAACCGUAAGGAGCGUCCUAGGGUAAAACUGGUGACUGGGGCU
rnacentral:rRNA from 1 species